ensembl:lncRNA
GUGAGUACAUAUACAAAUGGCACACACACACACACACACACACACAUUGAUUGCACUGAUCCCGAGAAUGAAAUCCAAUGUUUUAACUCAUUUUAUUUAGUAAAAUGAGCCGUGUGUCUAGGUUCUAGGUUCUGAGGUGGCCAAGUGUGCAUCUGCCACACUAAAGGGAUGCACCAUCCAAGUAUAUUUGUUUUUAUACUGCAGGACUGGCGUUCUUGUGGAUUGUGGUGGGAUUCGGUGUUUCAGUGUCGGCCUUUUGUUCUCCUCAAGCACUUGGGCUCCCUGAACGGCUGAGGCCAUCGUUGGAGCAAGCAAGGAAAAAAUAAUACCAGAGAUGUCUAAAAGCAGAGGCUAAAAGCGGCCUGAGCUAGCGGCCUGCUAAAAAAACAAAGCACUGCCCAGGGGAAGAGCGAAGGGUCGGGCAGCGUGGUCCGGACUUGCCACAGCCGCGUCUCUCUGCGUCCCCUCACUCCCUUUCUCACCUAUAUGUAGACGAAGGCUCACAGCAGGGCAGUAUAGCCGAUCUGACCACAGGUAAACAUGGCCACACCACAAACGUGCUCACCUAGCACCAUAAUGGACAAAAAUACCGCACUGCAAUGAAUGCAGGCUCACAUAUCAUCAAGGGGAAUGCUUGAAGAAAAAGUUCUUAAAAGCAGCACACUGACUGGAGUUAGUUAUAUCAUUCAGAAGCCACAGUCUGAUUUAUUGCUGAUAGCUUUUCUGUCAUCACGAUUUGUGUGUGUACUGUAUUUGUACCUUAACUUACAGAUAUGUGUUGUGUUUAAAUUAGUCCAAAGCUCUUUCAGUUUGUGUAGACUGCAGAGGUGAGAAAAGAAGGCCUGGUUGAGCGCAGCUACAGGUCAAGGAGCUGCGCCAUGGCGAUUAUACCGAACAGGAUGUUUACACCGCCGAAAACCGGGAGCUGCUGCCUGACCAAGCUAGCGUGUGCUAAAGACCCCACCUCAGCUCAAAUUUGUCAUCAAUAGUGAUUUAAAGCAGACAAGUGCAAUCAGAGACCAGCGUCCAGAUGCACCAAAACCAAAACACUGCCCUCUGAUCUUGGAGUCGACAUGUCAACAGCUGGCACUCAAUCACGCUACUUCAGAAGAGCAGAAUUCAUCGGAUUGACUUCCUAAUCAGUGGAAAUAAUAAUGACUAAUGCCAUUGUCUCCUAAGCUUUAAUCAACAUAUACACUAUCUCUUCAUAACAGCCUUUCC